AUGUCACUUUUAAAAGAUAUAAAUUCAAUUGAUAUUGUUCCAUCCUAGCUAAACUGGAUGGAUAUUUGCCUGAUAACAUUCCAUCCUUGGUAGACCAAGUCUGAACGAUACUUAUUAUAGGAGUUAUUAAUGUAUCUCUAACUCAUUAUUAAUGCAUCUCUGACUCAUCAUUAUUGUGCCGCUGAUAUUCUAUUUGUUACGCCGCCUGCAAAUUCUACCUAUUCCGACAAAUAAACAAUAGCAGACUUGCAGGGUGGUUAAGGACAACCUAGUAUACGCUUAUCAUAUAUAGUACCUGCUGAACUACAACCAACCAAUGACCAGAUGCAACGUCCAC
rnacentral:lncRNA from 1 species